CUUCACGUACGGAUCUGAAGUGCCACCCAUGUCUAAAGCUGGCAAUUCCUCGGCUUGUAUAACCGUUACUGCCAAACUGUUUGUGUUGAAAUCGUAUUCGAGCUGGAAACGUUCAAUGAUAUAAUAAUUUAUUUAAUUGAGAUCACGAUCGAUGAUAAAGAUUGCCAGGAUUGAUGAUGAGAUUGAAAUUACCUUAUAUUGAAGCUUCCCAAGUUUCACCUCGCUCUGCUUACUCUCAGCUUCAUCCGGUUCCUCGGCAUUGUCGGUAAGUUCUUCCAUAUCCGGCUGGACCUUAACAAAUCGAAGUGGAUUCCACGAGUGUAGAAUGUGCGUCUAAUAUCUACAUGAAGUCAUGGAACACGAUUACGUACCUUGUCUUUGUACGUGCUGCCCAAUAGUUGAACGGAUUUUAAGUCCACCGCCCCCUUCAAUCCUUUCUUUCCAUCUUUGGAUCGUCUUUUGCGACAACAUCUUCUGAUGCAGCAGAAGCAGAUUCCGAGAACUACUACGCUUACAGCUACUCAAGCAUAAGAAGGGAGAAAUUUGAAAGAAUUAAAAAAUGAUUCAAUGGAUGUUUGGUGGAACGAAGAAAUUAUUAAUAAUUAGGUAACUAAUUAAGAAUGGAAUUGAUUUCUGUUAAAUGAGGUGCAAAAAUUGUGUAUAUUUCAUUUUUGAAUCUAUUUUUUAAUUUUAUUCAUUCCUAUUUUUAUCGUGUUAUUUAUUAUAUCAAAAUUCUGGAAUAUAAAUGAACAGUUUUAUGAUAAAAUUUGACGCCAUUUUUUUUCAGUAUUAAAAAGUAUGUAAAGAAUUUCGAUCUUUUAGGUUUCGUUCCACCUUAUUUCUGAUGACAUCAUGCGCAUAGUGCGUCUAUUCAAGCAAAAUUCGCAAGCACGAAAGCAAUUUUUAUUUUUCUAUUUAUUUUGUAUUUUAUAUUUUUCCCAUUAAUGCUUUUGCUGUAUAAUGAGUGUAAUUUUUUUUAAAAAUGCUAUGUUAUAAUAAUAAAAAUAUUCUUAUUUACAACGCAACUGAAACAAAGGAAAUAUUUGUAAUUAAUGUCGUUCAUUUGGAGCAUGUUCAGUAAUGUUUGAGUUAUCUGAAAGAGUAAAAUGUUUUAGGAUCAACUGUUUUUUAAGUAAAGAAAAAGUUUUCAGAUUCUUUUGUGUCUUCUUGUGUAGAUAUCAUUAUUACUUUGAAAUAUUUCUACAUAAAAAUUCAUUAUUUUUGACUUUAUGUGAAAGUGUUAUCUGAAAACUUUUAUAUGUACAUUAUUGAUACAGUAUUUUAUUAUCAAUAAAUCUCUUUGAAAGUUCUUUUCCUCUCUAGCUUCCUCUCAAAGUUUUUUGCAUAAAAUAUUAUAUAAAUUACAUAUUCAAUAUUAUAUAUUAAAUUUAAAAUCAAUUGUAAGAUUUUUUAAAAAUUAUUUUUAUACUAAGUAAAUUUUUUAUAAUGUUUA